UACGUAGGGUGCGAGCGUUAAUCGGAAUUACUGGGCGUAAAGCGUGCGCAGGCGGUUCGUUGUGUCGGCGGUGAAAGCCCCGGGCUCAACCUGGGAAUGGCCGUUGAAACUGGCGAACUGGAGUGUGGCAGAGGGGGGUGGAAUUCCGCGUGUAGCAGUGAAAUGCGUAGAUAUCAGGAGGAACACCAAUGGCGAAGGCAGCUCGCUGGGACGGUACUGACGCUGAGGCGCGAAAGCGUGGGGAGCAAACAGG
rnacentral:rRNA from 1 species